GUGGCUUCGGCUACCACUUACAGAUGGACCCGCGGCGCAUUAGCUAGUUGGUGAGGUAACGGCUCACCAAGGCAACGAUGCGUAGCCGACCUGAGAGGGUGAUCGGCCACACUGGGACUGAGACACGGCCCAGACUCCUACGGGAGGCAGCAGUAGGGAAUCUUCCGCAAUGGACGAAAGUCUGACGGAGCAACGCCGCGUGAGUGAUGAAGGUUUUCGGAUCGUAAAGCUCUGUUGUUAGGGAAGAACAAGUACCGUUCAAAUAGGGCGGUACCUUGACGGUACCUAACCAGAAAGCCACGGCUAACUACGUGCCAGCAGCCGCGGUAAUACGUAGGUGGCAAGCGUUGUCCGGAAUUAUUGGGCGUAAAGGGCUCGCAGGCGGUUCCUUAAGUCUGAUGUGAAAGCCCCCGGCUCAACCGGGGAGGGUCAUUGGAAACUGGGGAACUUGAGUGCAGAAGAGGAGAGUGGAAUUCCACGUGUAGCGGUGAAAUGCGUAGAGAUGUGGAGGAACACCAGUGGCGAAGGCGACUCUCUGGUCUGUAACUGACGCUGAGGAGCGAAAGCGUGGGGAGCGAACAGGAUUAGAUACCCUGGUAGUCCACGCCGUAAACGAUGAGUGCUAAGUGUUAGGGGGUUUCCGCCCCUUAGUGCUGCAGCUAACGCAUUAAGCACUCCGCCUGGGGAGUACGGUCGCAAGACUGAAACUCAAAGGAAUUGACGGGGGCCCGCACAAGCGGUGGAGCAUGUGGUUUAAUUCGAAGCAACGCGAAGAACCUUACCAGGUCUUGACAUCCUCUGACAAUCCUAGAGAUAGGACGUCCCCUUCGGGGGCAGAGUGACAGGUGGUGCAUGGUUGUCGUCAGCUCGUGUCGUGAGAUGUUGGGUUAAGUCCCGCAACGAGCGCAACCCUUGAUCUUAGUUGCCAGCAUUCAGUUGGGCACUCUAAGGUGACUGCCGGUGACAAACCGGAGGAAGGUGGGGAUGACGUCAAAUCAUCAUGCCCCUUAUGACCUGGGCUACACACGUGCUACAAUGGACAGAACAAAGGGCAGCGAAACCGCGAGGUUAAGCCAAUCCCACAAAUCUGUUCUCAGUUCGGAUCGCAGUCUGCAACUCGACUGCG
rnacentral:rRNA from 1 species